GGGCAGGUGGUGGAAUGGCAGACACGAAAGACUCAAAAUCUUUUGCUGGUGACCCCAGCGUGAGGGUUCGACUCCCUCUCUGCCCA
rnacentral:tRNA from 3 species